rnacentral:misc_RNA from 1 species
AACGCAAGUUGCGCCCGAAGCCACUAGGCCGAGGGCACGUCUGCCUGGGUGUCACGCAACGUCGCCAACGCCCGGUCCUCCGGGCGCGGCGGAUGAUGGCCUCCCGGGGGCCUCGCCCCCCGGCCGGCCGAAAAAGGGGCCCGACGGGACGACCGCCACGAUCCACGGUGGUUGAGUGAGCAUUCGCUCGAGGCCAUGACGUGAGCGCGCCGUCCCGCGGCGAGGGCCCGUCGGAUAUAUGGGGCGGACGUGCGGCAGCAGAGAGCCCCCCACUCGUACGCGACCCCAGGUCAGGCGGGGCUACCCGCUGAGUUUAA